CUGCUGUCUAAUAAAAAGUUGGUGUCUCCCCCAAUGAUUACCUCCCCAUGUUUGUGCACAUCUGUUAAAGCUAGAAUCGUUGGAAAAAAUUCAUUUUGAUUUUCAUUUGGGCCGUACACAUUAAUCAAGGUAUAUGGUACAUUGUUCAACAUACAUUGCAAAAUUAGAUAUCGAACUAAUGAGAAUGCAACAUCUUUGCUUAUCAAAG